rnacentral:rRNA from 1 species
UACAGAGACCUCAAACAUUGCCCGGAUUUAUUGGGCGUAAAGGGUCCGCAGGUGGUUGGUCACGUCAUCGGUUAAAUCUUAGGGCUCAACCCUGAAACCGCCGAUGAUACGGAUCGACUAGAGAGUGGGAGAGGUACGUGGAAUUGCCGGUGUAGUAGUAAAAUGCGUUAAUAUCGGCAAGAACGCCAAAUGUGUAGACAGCGUACUAGAACACUUCUGACACUCAGGGACGAAAGCGUGGGGAGCGAAAGGG